AUACGGAGGGUGCAAGCGUUACUCGGAAUCACUGGGCGUAAAGGACGCGUAGGCGGGUUGGUAAGUCAGGUGUGAAAUCCUACAGCUUAACUGUAGAACUGCACUUGAAACUACCAACCUAGAGUAUGGGAGGGGGAGAUGGAAUUAGUGGUGUAGGGGUAAAAUCCGUAGAUAUCACUAGGAAUACCGAAAGCGAAGGCGAUCCCCUGGAACAUAACUGACGCUAAGGCGUGAAAGCGUGGGGAGCAAACAGGAUUAGAAACCCGGGUAGUCC
rnacentral:rRNA from 1 species